rnacentral:rRNA from 1 species
GAUGACUAAUACCGGAAUAAAGCUUACUUUCGAAUGAAAGAAGUUUAAAAGGCGGCGUAAGCUGUCGCUAAAGGAUGGACCUGCGAUGCAUUAGCUAGUUGGUAAGGUAACGGCUUACCAAGGCGAUGAUGCAUAGCCGAGUUGAGAGACUGAUCGGCCACAUUGGGACUGAGACACGGCCCAAACUCCUACGGGAGGCAGCAGAC